rnacentral:rRNA from 1 species
GAGUUUGAUCAUGGCUCAGGACGAACGCUGGCGGCGUGCUUAACACAUGCAAGUCGAACGAAGCGCUUAAGAUGAUUUCUUCGGAAUGAAUUUUUAGUUGCUUAGUGGCGGACGGGUGAGUAACGCGUGAGCAACCUGCCCAUAAGAGGGGGAUAACAGCUGGAAACGGCUGCUAAUACCGCAUAAGACCACAUUGCCACAUGGCAAAGGGGUCAAAGAUUUAUCGCUUAUGGAUGGGCUCGCGUCUGAUUAGCUAGUUGGUAGGGUAACGGCCUACCAAGGCAACGAUCAGUAGCCGACCUGAGAGGGUGAUCGGCCACAC